GAUGAACGCUGGCGGCGUGCCUAAUACAUGCAAGUCGAGCGAACGGACGAGAAGCUUGCUUCUCUGAUGUUAGCGGCGGACGGGUGAGUAACACGUGGAUAACCUACCUAUAAGACUGGGAUAACUUCGGGAAACCGGAGCUAAUACCGGGUAAUAUUUUGAACCGCAUGGUUCAAAAGUGAAAGACGGUCUUGCUGUCACUCAUAGAUGGAUCCGCGCUGCAUUAGCUAGUUGGUAAGGUAACGGCUUACCAAGGCAACGAUGCAUAGCCGACCUGAGAGGUGGAUCGGCCACACUGGAACUGAGACACGGUCCGGACUCCUACGGGAGGCAGCGGUAGGGAAUCUUCCGCAUUGGGCGAAAGCCUGACGGAGCAACGCCGCGUGAGUGAUGAAGGUCUUCGGAUCGUAAAACUCUGUUAUUAGGGAAGAACAUAUGUGUAAGUAACUGUGCACAUCUUGACGGUACCUAAUCAGAAAGCCACGGCUAACUACGUG
rnacentral:rRNA from 1 species